rnacentral:rRNA from 1 species
UACGUAGGGGACAAGCGUUGUCCGGAAUCACUGGGCGUAAAGGGCGCGUAGGCGGCUUUAUAAGUCAGAUGUGAAAGGUACCGGCUCAACCGGUGACGUGCAUUUGAAACUGUAAGACUUGAGUACUGGAGAGGCAAGUGGAAUUCCUAGUGUAGCGGUGAAAUGCGUAGAUAUUAGGAGGAACACCGGUGGCGAAGGCGGCUUGCUGGACGGAUACUGACGCUGAGGUGCGAAAGCGUGGGGAGCGAACAGGAUUAGAUACCCUGGUAGUCCACGCCGUAAACGAUGAUGACUAGGUGUUGGGGAAACUCAGUGCCGCAGUUAACACAUUAAGUCAUCCGCCUGGGGAGUACGACCGCAAGGUUGAA